rnacentral:rRNA from 1 species
GUCUUUUAGUUAAUUUUUAAAAGUCUAAUCUGCUCACUGAAUUUUUAAAGAGCCGCAGUAUCAUGACUGUGCAAAGGUAGCAUAAUCAAUAGUUUUUUAAUUGAAAACUUGAAUGAAAGAUUGAAUGAAAAAAUAAUUUUCUUUAUUUAAAUAAUAGAAAUUAAUGUUUAAGUGAAAAUUCUUAAAUAAAUUAAGGGGACGAGAAGACCCUAUAGAUUUUUAUUAAAUAGAAUUUAGAUAUAAUUUAAAUUGUAAAUUAAUUUGAUUGGGGUGAUAUUGUAAUAUAAAUAACUUAAAUUUUUAUAACCAAAAAUAAAUGAAUUUUUUUAUUUAAAAUUUUUAAAUGAAGAUUAAAUUACCUUAGGGAUAACAGCGUAAUUUUAUUAAAGAGUUCAUAUUUAUAAUAAAGUUUACGACCUCGAUGUUGAAUUAGGAUAAAAUAUAGGAGCAGAAAUUUAUAUUUAUAGUCUGUUCGACUACUAGAUUCC